GAGCUCAGCUAGCAGAGCAUGAGACUCUCAAUCUCAGGGUCAUGGGCUUGAGCCCCACACU
rnacentral:tRNA from 1 species